rnacentral:rRNA from 1 species
UACGUAGGGGGCAAGCGUUGUCCGGAAUCAUUGGGCGUAAAGCGCGUGUAGGCGGCUCGGUAAGUCUGCCCUGAAAGCCCGGGGCUCAACCCUGGGAGGCGGGUGGAUACUGCUGAGCUCGAGUCCGGAAGAGGCGAGUGGAAUUCCUGGUGUAGCGGUGAAAUGCGCAGAUAUCAGGAGGAACACCAAUGGCGAAGGCAGCUCGCUGGGACGGUACUGACGCUGAGACGCGAAAGCGUGGGGAGCAAACAGG